GCCCAGGUGGCGAAACUGGUAGACGCGCACGCUUGAGGGGCGUGUGGGAGCAAUCCUAUGGAGGUUCAAAUCCUCUCCUGGGCA
rnacentral:tRNA from 1 species